UUCUGUGAGGAUGAUCUGGCUGUGUCAUCUGUCACCUCACUGACUGCUGGGGUUGAUUUCACUGAUUGGUUGGUUAGGCAAGCUGCACGUUCAGCUGAAGAGGACAACCUUCUCCAAUCGAGGAGGACCGUUCUUUGAUCAAGGAUAUAUGAGUACCUGCACUCCCCUGCUAGGACCUCCAGACAAGCUCUCAAGGUCCAUUUGUAGGAGAACAUAGUGUAUUCAAGCUUCCAAGACUCCAGACACAUCCCCAAAAAAACGCCAACCCCCAAGGAAAAAUAAGAUUAUUUUGUCAUCG
rfam:TPA: Bos taurus chromosome 22, whole genome shotgun sequence.